rnacentral:rRNA from 1 species
AACGAACGCUGGCGGCAUGCCUAACACAUGCAAGUCGAACGAGAUCUUCGGGUCUAGUGGCGCACGGGUGCGUAACGCGUGGGAAUCUGCCCUUUGGUUCGGAAUAACAGUUGGAAACGACUGCUAAUACCGGAUGAUGACGAAAGUCCAAAGAUUUAUCGCCAGAGGAUUAGCCCGCGUAGGAUUAGCUAGUUGGUGUGGUAAAGGCGCACCAAGGCGACGAUCCUUAGCUGGUCUGAGAGGAUGAUCAGCCACACUGGGACUGAGACACGGCCCAGACUCCUACGGGAGGCAGCAGUGGGGUAUAUUGGACAAUGGGCGAAAGCCUGAUCCAGCAAUGCCGCGUGAGUGAUGAAGGCCUUAGGGUUGUAAAGCUCUUUUACCCGGGAUGAUAAUGACAGUACCGGGAGAAUAAGCUCCGGCUAACUCCGUGCCAGCAGCCGCCGUAA